rnacentral:piRNA from 1 species
GAGCAGGAAAAAAUAGUGUGUGCCCA